ensembl:antisense Gm13601 predicted gene 13601
GGAUGAUUUCGACUGCAUCGUAGCUUUCAGUCUCUGGCAUUGCUCUGUUGACAGAAUUCAUUUUGUCUUUAUGAACAUAAGUCUCCGUUUUUUCUGUUUUCUUCACUGCUUCUUGAGAGUCUACAGAUUCUCUGAAGGAGCCACUAACGACGUGGUUUACACUCACAGGUCUAUAGAAACAGAAACCCACAAUACCAUUAAGAACCAGAGAUGCUGUAUCUGGGACACACCAAAAAUUAGGUAGAGGAAUUGAUGCAGAAUGGAUGUUCACACAGAUGGCGCUAUUUUGCCAGGAAGAUGUAGUCCAUAAAAGACUCAGGCCAAUGUUCUGCACAGUGCAGGUGGAGAUGAGAUUCCCUGUAUAAUGAGAAUAGAAUGACUGAGAAAGCCAGGCAUGCAGCAGG